UAAUACAUGCAAGUCGUACGCACUGGCCCAACUGAUUGAUGGUGCUUGCACCUGAUUGACGAUGGAUCACCAGUGAGUGGCGGACGGGUGAGUAACACGUAGGUAACCUGCCCCGGAGCGGGGGAUAACAUUUGGAAACAGAUGCUAAUACCGCAUAACAACAAAAGCCACAUGGCUUUUGUUUGAAAGAUGGCUUUGGCUAUCACUCUGGGAUGGACCUGCGGUGCAUUAGCUAGUUGGUAAGGUAACGGCUUACCAAGGCGAUGAUGCAUAGCCGAGUUGAGAGACUGAUCGGCCACAAUGGAACUGAGACACGGUCCAUACUCCUACGGGAGGCAGCAGUAGGGAAUCUUCCACAAUGGGCGCAAGCCUGAUGGAGCAACACCGCGUGAGUGAAGAAGGGUUUCGGCUCGUAAAGCUCUGUUGUUGGAGAAGAACGUGCGUGAGAGUAACUGUUCACGCAGUGACGGUAUCCAACCAGAAAGUCACGGCUAACUACAUUCCAGCAGCCGCGGUAAUAC
rnacentral:rRNA from 2 species